rnacentral:rRNA from 1 species
CAAGGAAGGCAGCAGGCGCGCAAAUUACCCACUCCCGGCACGGGGAGGUAGUGACGAAAAAUAAACGAUACGGGACUCAUCCGAGGCCCCGUAAUCGGAAUGAGUACACUUUAAAUCCUUUAACGAGGAUCAAUUGGAGGGCAAGUCUGGUGCCAGCAGCCGCGGUAAUUCCAGCUCCAAUAGCGUAUAUUAAAGUUGUUGCGGUUAAAAAGCUCGUAGUCGAAUCUGUGUCGUGCGCCGCCGGUUCAUCGCUCGCGGUGUCAACUGGCGUGUCGCAGGACGUCCUGCCGGUGGACUUAGCCGCGUCGUCGCCUCGCGCGGCGCGCGCGGCGGUCCAACUUCAACAAUCCCACCGCGGUGCUCUUCGCUGAGUGUCGAGGUGGGCCGGCACGUUUACUUUGAACAAAUUAGAGUGCUUAAAGCAGGCUAAAAUUUCGCCUGAAUACUGUGUGCAUGGAAUAAUGGAAUAGGACCUCGGUUCUAUUUUGUUAGUUUUCGGAACCCCGAGGUAAUGAUUAAUAGGAACGGAUGGGGGCAUUCGUAUUGCGACGUUAGAGGUGAAAUUCUUGGAUCGUCGCAAGACGGACUUAAGCGAAAGCAUUUGCCAAAAACGCUUUCAUUGAUCAAGAACGAAAGUUAGAGGUUCGAAGGCGAUCAGAUACCGCCCUAGUUCUAACCAUAAACGAUGCCAGCUAGCGAUCCUCCGMCGUUCCUCCGAUGACUCGGCGGGCAGCUUCCGGGAAACCAAGCUUUUGGGUUCCGGGGGAAGU